GGUCAAUGAUGCUAAAUCCAAAGGCUAGUUUCUCAAAACAUUCGCAGUAGCCGCCUAAGAGCUUUCGCCUUCGCCAGGCUUGAGAGCUUGUGCUGCUAAUCCUUCCUUGGAUGUCUGAGACU
rfam:Vitis vinifera, whole genome shotgun sequence of line PN40024, unoriented chromosome 7, chr7